UCCAAGGUUUAAAAUCAUGAG
rnacentral:piRNA from 1 species